GUUAUUGUAGCUUACACCAAAGCACAGCACUGAAAAUGCUGAGACGGUAUUACACCCGAAUAACA
rnacentral:tRNA from 1 species